rnacentral:rRNA from 1 species
CAGCCGUAAACAAUGUGCGUUAGGUGUGUCGGUAACCACGCGUUACUGAUGCGCCGAAGAGAAAUCGUGAAACGCACCACCUGGGAAGUACGGUCGCAAGGCUGAAACUUAAAGGAAUUGGCGGGGGAGCACCACAACAGAUGGAGCCUGCGGUUUAAUUGGAUUCAACACCGUAAACUCACCAGGGAAGACUGUUACAUGAAGGCCGAGAUGAAGACUCUGCUAGAUUUUCAGAGAGGAGGUGCAUGGCGUCAGUGACUGU